rnacentral:rRNA from 1 species
CAUGAAGCUGGAAUCGCUAGUAAUCGCGGAUCAGAAUGCCGCGGUGAAUACGUUCCCGGGUCUUGUACACACCGCCCGUCACACCAUGGGAGCCGGUAAUACCCGAAGUCAGUAGUCCAACCUCGUGAGGACGCUGCCGAAGGUAGGAUUGGCGACUGGGGUGAAGUCGUAACAAGGUAAC